rnacentral:rRNA from 1 species
GAUGAACGCUAGCGGCAGGCUUAAUACAUGCAAGUCGAGGGACAGCACAGGUAGCAAUACUGGGUGGUAACCGGCAAACGGGUGCGGAACACGUACACAACCUUCCUUUAAGUGGGGGAUAGCCCAGAGCAAUUUGGAUUAAUACCCCGUAAUAUAGUUGAAUGGCAUCAUUUUAUUAUUAUAGCUACGGCGCUUAAUGAUGGGUGUGCGGCUGAUUAGAUAGUUGGCGGGGUUACGGCCCACCAAGUCUACGAUCAGUAGCUGAUGUGAGAGCAUGAUCAGCCACACGGGCACUGAGACACGGGCCCGACUCCUACGGGAGGCAGCAGUAAGGAAUAUUGGUCAAUGGACGCAAGUCUGAACCAGCCAUGCCGCGUGAAGGAUUAAGGUCCUCUGGAUUGUAAACUUCUUUUAUUUGGGACGAAAAAGGGUCUUUCUAGGUCAACUGACGGUACCAGAUGAAUAAGCACCGGCUAACUCCGUGCCAGCAGCCGCCGCCGUAA